AUUGAACGCUGGCGGCAGGCCUAACACAUGCAAGUCGAGCGGAUGAAGGGAGCUUGCUCCUGGAUUCAGCGGCGGACGGGUGAGUAAUGCCUAGGAAUCUGCCUGGUAGUGGGGGAUAACGUCCGGAAACGGGCGCUAAUACCGCAUACGUCCUGAGGGAGAAAGUGGGGGAUCUUCGGACCUCACGCUAUCAGAUGAGCCUAGGUCGGAUUAGCUAGUUGGUGGGGUAAAGGCCUACCAAGGCGACGAUCCGUAACUGGUCUGAGAGGAUGAUCAGUCACACUGGCACUGAGACACGGUACAGACUCCUUCGGGAGGCAGCAGUGGGGAAUUUUGGACAAGGGGCCAGAGCCUAAUCCAGCCAUGCCGCGUGUAUGAAGAAGGUCUUCGGAUUGUAAAGCACUUUAAGUUGGGAGGAAGGGCAGUAAGUUAAUACCUUGCUGUUUUGACGUUACCAACAGAAUAAGCACCGGCUAACUUCGUG
rnacentral:rRNA from 1 species